GAGUACAUGGGCCAGUGGUCUACGCCGUGGCGUUUAGGUACAAACUAAACAAGUUCCGCCAUCCGAGAGGGCGCAGGUUCGAAUCCUGCUGUACUCA
rnacentral:tRNA from 1 species